rnacentral:rRNA from 1 species
AGUGAACGCUGGCGGUAGGCCUAACACAUGCAAGUCGAACGGCAGCACAGUAAGAGCUUGCUCUUACGGGUGGCGAGUGGCGGACGGGUGAGGAAUACAUCGGAAUCUACUUUUUCGUGGGGGAUAACGUAGGGAAACUUACGCUAAUACCGCAUACGACCUACGGGUGAAAGCAGGGGAUCUUUGGACCUUGCGCGAUUGAAUGAGCCGAUGUCGGAUUAGCUAGUUGGCGGGGUAAAGGCCCACCAAGGCGACGAUCCGUAGCUGGUCUGAGAGGAUGAUCAGCCACACUGGAACUGAGACACGGUCCAGACUCCUAUGGGAGGCAGCAGUGGGGAAUAUUGGACAAUGGGCGCAAGCCUGAUCCAGCCAUACCGCGUGGGUGAAGAAGGCCUUCGGGUUGUAAAGCCCUUUUGUUGGGAAAGAAAAGCAGCAGGUUAAUACCCCGCUGUUCUGACGGUACCCAAAGAAUAAGCACCGGCUAACUUCGUG